rnacentral:rRNA from 1 species
UGAGGAAUUUUCCACAAUGGGCGCAAGCCUGAUGGAGCGACGCCGCGUGCGGGAUGAAGGGGCUCUGCCUUGUAAACCGCUGUCGGAGGGGAAGAAUGUAGCUUUAGAAGCUAUUGGACAGUACCCUUAGAGGAAGGAUCGGCUAACUACGUGCCAGCAGCCGCGGUAAUACGUAGGAUCCGAGCGUUGUCCGGAAUUACUGGGCAUAAAGGGAGCGUAGGCGGACAUGUGCGUCAGAGGUUAAAUACAACGGCUUAACCGUUGACCGCCUUUGAUACGGCAUGUCUUGAGUACGAGAGAGGCGAGUGGAAUUCCUGGUGUAGCGGUGAAAUGCGUAGAUAUCAGGAGGAACACCUGCGGCGAAGGCGACUCGCUGGCUCGUAACUGACGCUGAGGCUCGAAAGCGUGGGGAUCAAACA